rnacentral:rRNA from 1 species
AAAUCGUAUAAAGUUCUAGGUAGAAUAAAGAGUUUGACGAUUUUCUAUCUAUAAGUCUUGACCAAAUUACGUGCCAGCAGUCGCGGUAAUACGUAGAAGACUAGUGUUAUUCAUCUUUAAUCGGUAUAAAGGGUACCUAGACAGAUUACCAAGCCUUAAUGGGGACUAGUUUUCUAGAGUUUUAUGUGUAAAUAUGCGAAUUACCAGAGGAGAGUUUGAAUUCGAUUAUACUGGUAAGACGGGUUACGGCGAAGGCGAUAUUUUAUGUAAAAACUGACGUUGAGGGACGAAGCCUUGGGGAGCGAUAAGGAUUUGAUACCCUAGUAGUCCAAGGAGACAAUUAUGAGUGCCAUAGACUAGGUUUUACUAGUUUAUAAACGAAAGUGUAAGCAUUCCACCUCAUGACUAAAGCGGCAACGCCCAAAUUGAAAUCAUUAGACCGUUUCUGAAAUCAGUAGUGAAGUAUGUUAUUUAAUUCGAUAAUCCGCGAAUAACCUUACCACGUCUUGAAUAUUUAUUAAAUAUUUUUACAAGCGCUGCACGGUUGUCUUCAGUUAAUGUCGUGAGAUUCAGGUUAGUUCCUUUAAUUAACGAAAACCCUUGCUUUGACCUUUUUUUAAAUGUGUUAAGAAAUGUACCAG